AUGGAAGUGAGGAUCCUUUCCCCAGAUGAUCGACUGUGAUUAUACUGUGCGCAAUUGUGAUGCCUCCUCUUGUGAGGAGGAUUUCAAGCCAGAAAUCUGAUCCAU